rnacentral:rRNA from 2 species
CUGGUGUCAGCCGCCGCGGUAAUACCAGCACCUCGAGUGGUCAGGACGUUUAUUGGGCCUAAAGCAUCCGUAGCCGGCUCUGCAAGUCUUCGGUUAAAUCCACCUGCUCAACAGAUGGGCUGCUGGAGAUACUACAGAGCUAGGGAGUGGGAGAGGCAGACGGUAUUCAGUGGGUAGGGGUAAAAUCCUCUGAUCCAUUGAGGACCACCAGUGGCGAAGGCGGUCUGCCAGAACACGUUCGACGGUGAGGGAUGAAAGCUGGGGGAGCAAACCGGAUUAGAUACCCGGGUAGUCCCAGCUGUAAACGAUGCAAACUCGGUGAUGCAUUGGCUUAUGGCCAAUGCAGUGCCGCAGGGAAGUCGUUAAGUUUGCCGCCUGGGAAGUACGGACACAAGUCUGAAACUUAAAG